rnacentral:rRNA from 1 species
UACAGAGACUGCAAGCGUUAUUCGGAUUCAUUGGGCGUAAAGGGUGCGUAGGUGGCGCUGUAAGUCGGGUGUGAAAUUUCGGAGCUUAACUCCGAAACUGCAUUCGAUACUGCGGUGCUUGAGGACUGGAGAGGAGACUGGAAUUCAUGGUGUAGCAGUGAAAUGCGUAGAGAUCAUGAGGAAGACCAGUGGCGAAGGCGGGUCUCUGGACAGUUCCUGACGCUGAGGCACGAAGGCCAGGGGAGCAAACGGG